CAGCAGCCACGGGAAUACGUAGGGUGCGAGCGUUAAUCGGAAUUACUGGGCGUAAAGCGUGCGCAGGCGGUUCGUUAAGACAGAUGUGAAAUCCCCGGGCUUAACCUGGGAACUGCAUUUGUGACUGGCGAGCUAGAGUAUGGCAGAGGGGGGUAGAAUUCCACGUGUAGCAGUGAAAUGCGUAGAUAUCGGAAGGAACACCUGUGGCGAAAGCGGCUCACUGGACCAUUUCUGACGCUGAUGCACGAAAGCGUGGGGAGCAAACAGGAUUAGAUACCCCAGUAGUCCCUGUCUCUUAUAC
rnacentral:rRNA from 1 species